AAUGAACGCUGGCGGCGUGCCUAACACAUGCAAGUCGGAUGUGCCGCAAGGUGCAUGGCAGACGGGUGAGUAACGCGUAGGGAAUCUACCUUUUUGUGGGGAAUAACGUUCCGAAAGGAAUGGUAAUACCGCAUGAGACCAUGGACUGGGAUGUUUAUGGUGAAAGCUGGGGACCGCAAGGCCUAGCGCAAGAAGAGGAUCCUGCGUCUGAUUAGCUAGUUGGCGGGGUAAUGGCCCACCAAGGCGACGAUCAGUAGCCGGCCUGAGAGGGUGAUCGGCCACACUGGAACUGAGACACGGUCCAGACUCCUACGGGAGGCAGCAGUGGGGAAUUUUGCGCAAUGGACGAAAGUCUGACGCAGCAACGCCGCGUGGGUGAUGAAGGUCUUCGGGAUCGUAAAACCCUGUCGUCAGGGACGAAGUGAGUGACGGUACCUGGAGAAGAAGCAAUCGGCUAACUACGUGCCAGCAGCC
rnacentral:rRNA from 1 species